ACCUGGCUGGCUCAGUCGGUAGAGCAUGUGACUCUUGAUCUCGGGGUUAGAAGUUCGAGCCCCAUGUUGGGUA
rnacentral:tRNA from 1 species